UACAGAGGUCCCGAGCGUUGUUCGGAAUCACUGGGCUUAAAGGGCGCGUAGGCGGCUCGCCAAGUCAGGGGUGAAAUACUUCAGCUUAACUGGAGAAGUGCCCUUGAUACUGGCGGGCUCGAGGGAAGUAGGGGUCUGUGGAACUUCUGGUGGAGCGGUGAAAUGCGUUGAUAUCAGAAGGAACGCCGGUGGCGAAAGCGACGGACUGGACUUCUUCUGACGCUGAGGCGCGAAAGCUAGGGGAGCAAACGGG
rnacentral:rRNA from 1 species